rnacentral:rRNA from 1 species
AGUGAACGCUGGCGGUAGGCCUAACACAUGCAAGUCGAACGGCAGCACAGUAAGAGCUUGCUCUUACGGGUGGCGAGUGGCGGACGGGUGAGGAAUACACCGGAAUCUACUUUUUCGUGGGGGAUAACGUAGGGAAACUUACGCUAAUACCGCAUACGACCUACGGGUGAAAGCAGGGGAUCUUCGGACCUUGCGCGAUUGAAUGAGCCGAUGUCGGAUUAGCUAGUUGGCGGGGUAAAGGCCUACCAAGGCGACGAUCCGUAGCUGGUCUGAGAGGAUGAUCAGCCACACUGGAAGUGAGACACGGUCCAGACUCCUACGGGAGGCAGCAGUGGGGAAUAUUGGACGAUGGGCGCAAGCCUGAUCCAGCCAUACCGCGUGGGUGAAGAAGGCCUUCGGGUGGGAAAGCCCUUUUGUUGGGAAAGAAAAGCAGCAGGUUAAUACCCCGCUGUUCUGACGGUACCCAAAGAAUAAGCACCGGCUAACUUCGUG